GCUAAUAAAGCUUUAAGCGUUGGUUUUGUAAAUCAAAAAUUGAGUGUAAAUUACUCUUUUAGCU
rnacentral:tRNA from 1 species